UACAGAGGUCUCAAGCGUUGUUCGGAUUCAUUGGGCGUAAAGGGUGUGUAGGUGGCGCCGUAAGUCGGGUGUGAAAUUUCGGAGCUUAACUCCGAAACUGCAUUCGAUACUGCGGUGCUUAGAGGACUGGAGAGGAGUACGUAGGUAAUUCGAUGGUGUAGCAGUGAAAUGCGUAGAGAUCAUGAGGAAGACCAGUGGCGAAGGCGGGUCUCUGGACAGUUCCUGACACUGAGACACGAAGGCCAGGGGAGCAAACGGG
rnacentral:rRNA from 1 species